AUUGAACGCUGGCGGCAGGCCUAACACAUGCAAGUCGAGCGGAUGAAGGGAGCUUGCUCCUGGAUUCAGCGGCGGACGGGUGAGUAAUGCCUAGGAAUCUGCCUGGUAGUGGGGGAUAACGUCCGGAGACGGGCGCUAAUACCGCAUACGUCCUUAGGGAGAAAGUGGGGGAUCUUCGGACCUCACGCUAUCAGAUGAGCCUAGGUCGGAUUAGCUAGUUGGUGGGGUAAAGGCCUACCAAGGCGACGAUCCGUAACUGGUCUGAGAGGAUGAUCAGUCACACUGGAACUGAGACACGGUCCAGACUCCUACGGGAGGCAGCAGUGGGGAAUAUUGGACAAUGGGCGAAAGCCUGAUCCAGCCAUGCCGCGUGUGUGAAGAAGGUCUUCGGAUUGUAAAGCACUUUAAGUUGGGAGGAAGGGAAGUAAGUUAAUACCUUGCUGUUUUGACGUUACCAACAGAAUAAGCACCGGCUAACUUCGUG
rnacentral:rRNA from 1 species